rnacentral:rRNA from 1 species
ACCGCGGUCAUACGAUUAACCCAAAUUAAUAGAUCCACGGCGUAAAGAGUGUUUAAGAAAAAAAAACCACAAUAGAGUUAAAUUAUAACUAAGCUGUAAAAAGCCCUAGUUAAAAUAAAAUAACCCACGAAAGUGACUCUAAUAAUCCUGACACACGAUAGCUAGGACCCAAACUGGGAUUAGAUACCCCACUAUGCCUAGCCCUAAACCCAAAUAGUUACAUAACAAAACUAUUCGCCAGAGUACUACUCGCAACUGCCUAAAACUCAAAGGACUUGGCGGUGCUUCACAUCCACCUAGAGGAGCCUGUUCUAUAAUCGAUAAACCCCGAUAGACCUUACCAACCCUUGCCAAUUC